AUUGAACGCUGGCGGCAUGCCUUACACAUGCAAGUCGAACGGUAACGCGGGGCAACCUGGCGACGAGUGGCGAACGGGUGAGUAAAGCAUCGGAACGUGCCCAGUAGUGGGGGAUAGACCGGCGAAAGCCGGAUUAAUACCGCAUCCGACCUAAGGGGGAACGGGGGGGAUCGCAAGACCUCUCCAUACUGGAGCGGCCGAAGUCAGAUUAGGUAGUUGGUGGGGUAAAGGCCUAACAAGCCGACGAUCUGUAGCUGGUCUGAGAGGACGACCAGCGACAGUGGGACUGAGACACGGCACAGACUCCUACGGGAGGCAGCAGUGGGGAAUUUUGGACAAUGGGCGCAAGCCUGAUCCAGCCAUGCCGCGUGCGGGAAGAAGGCCUUCGGGUUGUAAACCGCUUUUGUCAGGGAAGAAAUCCUUUGGGUUAAUACCUCGGGGGGAUGACGGUACCUGAAGAAUAAGCACCGGCUAACUACGUGCCAGCAGCCGCCGUAA
rnacentral:rRNA from 1 species